CCUACGGGUGGCAGCAGUGGGGGAUAUUGCACAAUGGAGGAAACUCUGAUGCAGCGACGCCGCGUGAGGGAAGACGGUCUUCGGAUUGUAAACCUCUGUCUUUGGGGAAGAAAAUGACGGUACCCAAAGAGGAAGCUCCGGCUAACUACGUGCCAGCAGCCGCGGUAAUACGUAGGGAGCGAGCGUUGUCGGGAAUUACGGGGGGUAAAGGGAGCGUAGGCGGGCGAGAAAGUUGAAUGUUAAAUCUACCGGCUUAACUGGUAGCUGCGUUCAAAACUUCUUGUCUUGAGUGAAGUAGAGGCAGGCGGAAUUCCUAGUGUAGCGGUGAAAUGCGUAGAUAUAUGGAAGAACACCAGUGGCGAAGGCGGCUCUCUGGUCUGCAACUGACGCUGAGGCUCGAAAGCAUGGGUAGCGAACAGGAUUAGAUACCCUUGUAGUC
rnacentral:rRNA from 1 species